rnacentral:rRNA from 1 species
GAUGAACGCUGGCGGCGUGCCUAAUACAUGCCAGUCGAGCGAACAGACGAGGAGCUUGCUCCUCUGACGUUAGCGGCGGACGGGUGAGUAACACGUGGAUAACCUACCUAUAAGACUGGGAUAACUUCGGGAAACCGGAUCUAAUACCGGAUAAUAUAUUGAACCGCAUGGUUCAAUAGUGAAAGACGGUUUUGCUGUCACUUAUAGAUGGAUCCGCGCCGCAUUAGCUAGUUGGUAAGGUAACGGCUUACCAAGGCGACGAUGCGUAGCCGACCUGAGAGGGUGAUCGGCCACACUGGAACUGAGACACGGUCCAGACUCCUACGGGAGGCAGCAGUAGGGAAUCUUCCGCAAUGGGCGAAAGCCUGACGGAGCAACGCCGCGUGUGUGAUGAAGGUCUUCGGAUCGUAAAGCUCUGUUAUUAGGGAAGAACAAAUGUGUAAGUAACUAUGCACGUCUUGACGGUACCUAAUCAGAAAGCCACGGCUAACUACGUG